AUUCUUCCAUUAUUGGUGUGGUUGUAAGUGAUGUUAAACAAGUGAACUGUGUUAUACCUACCAGAAAUGGACGCAAUACAAACUUGUAUGUGAAAGGGAAAUCAUUUAAAGUAAAUAAAUGUCUUUGGACGUUAAUUACUGCUAAUGCUGAAUCAUACAAAUUCUAAACAUCGACUGAUCAAAGAUGAGCAGUUUUUCGAGAUGUCCUGUAUGACGUGAAAUCGAUGAAAUGAAACCAAAAUUAAUUGCACAAAGAUCAACUUAAAAACAAUUCCAACUUUGAUGACAACAAUAGCAAUAAAUGGAAACACAGUCAGGUGCAAGAAGAAUCAUUGUUAUAAAGACAAAUAAUUUGUUUCUGUAUGAUUGAUCUGUUUUUUCUUUAUCCAUGCUUAAUAAAGCAUAAAAGCAAAGGCAAAAAGGACGAAACUCCGUCAAUGUUGAUGCUGAGAGGUUAUUGUUCCGUGACUAGUAUUGAUUCUCAACGAGGAUUGCACUCUAAUUUUUAACUAUCAAAGCAAAAUUACUACAAGUUAACAACGUCUUCCAGACAAACCAAAUGUCAAUCGAUAUACCGAACCAAAUCUAAGCACUGGAUAAGCAUACAGUUUGUACUGAAGCUAUCACACCAAGGGUCAGCGCAGCGCAACAGACAAGAGCGCCUUCAAGACUAUACAGAAUGGUUUCUUAUAACAUCCAAUUUCCUCAACACAAUAAUUACAGAUAAUGUGGCUGCAUUGUUUAGUAUGUGGAUAUAUUUCCCAAGUGUCACAAGAGAACAAAUGAAAAUUGUUAAAAGAAAUGGUGAAAACGCUCUAAAUCUCGUCAAGAGUCUUGUUAUGUCACUGUACAAAGCAAAACGUGUCUACCCAAUCAACAGCACGAAAAAGAAAUUCAAAGGUGGAAAUGCCAACGUAAAUGAGGCUGCCAAGAAACAACGAUAUCAGACUUUAUAUUGUAUGAGCGAAGAAGAAUUUUUUAGAACUGCGAAAGAAAUGUUGAAGAAUGCUAACAUGCGAAAAUCGUCAAACGACAAAAAAGAAGUGAUGAAGAACAAUUAGAAGAAGGAACAACGAAGGCAAUCUUAUGGCUUUGACGAAACUAAAGCAAUGGAUGCCAAACGGCCCUCUAAAAAGAACGCUCAUACAGCAAAAAUUUCGAGUUCUUCAAAUUCGUCAGUUGAUGGAAUUCUGCAUUUGUUUGCACUAUCAGGCUACGAUCAUGUCCAUUCGCUGGAGGAAGGCAUUUCUAUGAUGUCCGCAACUAACGAGAACUGAAAUAAUUUAGAAGAUUCCGGUAAAGUCUUAACGGUAUAGAAAAGAAUCAAAUUUCUAAAUCUGUCGAUAGUUUUGAAGCAUUUCGCGAUGAGAUGAUGUGAAUAUUAGGUUAAUUAUGCAUGUCAUGGAGCUUGACACUUUCAGCCGUUAAGAUUAACAAUCAAACUUCACAACAACAAUAGCAAUAAAUCAAAAACCAGUGAGGUGCAAGAAUAGUCAUUGUUAUAAAGACAGAAAAUUUUGUACUGUAGGAUUAAUCUGUUUUCGUUUAUGCAUGCAUUAUAAUGCAUGUAAGAACAUAAACUUCACUUAUAAAUCUGUCUAGACUAAAUUUGAACAGAAACAGCAGCAGCAAAUACAAUGGCAAGGAUAAAAGAGCGAGACCACGUUAAAGUUUAUGUUGAGAGAGAAUUGGUCACUGGAAAGGAGUUUCAACGUGGAUUGAACGUAAAUUAUUAACUAUCAAAGCGGAAUUACUACGAGUUAACGACGUCUACCGGACAAACCAAAUGUCAAUGGAUAUACCGGACGAAAUCUAAGCAUUUGAUAAGCAUACAGUUUGUACUGAAGCUGAAUUGAGUGAUAGCGUAACGCAAUAAACAAGAGCGCCGUAAAAACUAUGCAGAUUGGUUUCUUACAACAUCCGAUUUCCUUGACACAGUGUUUAGAGAUAAUAUGGCUGCGUUGUCAAAUAUGUGGUGAUAUGUUAUAAGUGUCAUAAACCAUUGAAAUGUAAGAUAUGACUCGUGAAAUCGACAUUCCUAUAGAACACACCUCAAAAUCGGAACGAUAGGAAAAUUUAUUUCCUAUGCAUAUUAUAUGAAAGAUAGAAGAAGACAAGCUAUCGGCCGCUUUAAAGCCUUCACCAACGUCAAGCCAGAAAUAUGUCAUCCUCAUAUUUUACUACGACAAGUGCCAUUGGAUUAAUAAAGCUAAUAUCGACAGCAGGCGCUAAAUGAAAUCUGCAUUGCUUAGCCGUAAGAAAACGUGCUGCUUUUGAAAGACUUACUUGUCUCUAUCUUUUCAAAAGAAUUUCGAACUAUAAUAAAUGUAACUAUAGAUGUUUUGCUAAUGUAUUACCAAACUAACAUUAAUUUAUAAAUGUAUUUAUUUGUACUACUCUUUCACUUUUUAUAUCAACAUUCGACUACGAAUAUGA